GCCGGCCUGCUCCCGCAGUGGAGGCGAAGCGUGCCUACCGUGUUCACGACUCUCUCGGCUGCACUGGGAGACCUUUGAACUGAGGACACGUUCCCAGAGCCUGGUGUGAAGAUGGGCCCUUACCAGUUUGCAGAUCCCAGGAGAAAAUAUGUGUAUGAGGUCCUUGAACGCGACAGCUCUGCGGAUGCUUUCGGGCUUGAAGACACAUCUCCUUUGUCAUGAAUUGUCUACGGGACAACCUACUUUAGAACUCGAAGAAGCAUCUCUUUUCACAUAACCAAUUACAGGACUAAUUACAAACUGUUUUUAUCUGUUCAUUAAGAGAGGCCGGACCAGUGAAUGUGUCAACCCCCAUCCAGGUCCUGAACUAUGGCCAAGAAGCUACCAUCCUCCUGGUUUUACCAUCUCCACCACCAAUGGGCAAAUUUGAAUUGUUAUUUAGCGGAAGAUUGCUAAACUACAGAGAAAGUCAGGACAAAGAGCUGAAAUGCUCAGGCAGCUAAAGCCAAAUGUCUGUUCU